GACGAACGCUGGCGGCGUGCUUAACACAUGCAAGUCGAACGGAAAGGCCCUGCUUUUGUGGGGUUCUCGAGUGGCGAACGGGUGAGUAACACGUGAGUAACCUGCCCUUGACUUUGGGAUAACUUCAGGAAACUGGGGCUAAUACCGGAUAGGAGCUCCUGCUGCAUGGUGGGGGUUGGAAAGUUUCGGCGGUUGGGGAUGGACUCGCGGCUUAUCAGCUUGUUGGUGGGGUAGUGGCUUACCAAGGCUUUGACGGGUAGCCGGCCUGAGAGGGUGACCGGCCACAUUGGGACUGAGAGACGGCCCAGACUCCUACGGGAGGCAGCAGUGGGGAAUAUUGCACAAUGGGCGGAAGCCUGAUGCAGCAACGCCGCGUGCGGGAUGACGGCCUUCGGGUUGUAAACCGCUUUCGCCUGUGACGAAGAGUGAGUGACGGUAAUGGGUAAAGAAGCACCGGCUAACUACGUG
rnacentral:rRNA from 1 species